rnacentral:misc_RNA from 1 species
AGCUGGAUCAUUUUUCCGAUCAAAACGAAAAUAUCCAAAACACAUCUGCUUCUUUUCUCGUGUUGUUUGGGUUGUUUCUUUCGAGAGCGCCAACACACAACACACACCAAGAGGAGAGAGGCAACACACAAACAAAACAAACAACGCAGCAAAGACUUUUUCCGUUUCUCUUCCGAGAGGGGCGAAAAAACAAUCUUCCCUGCUCUACCUUAGCCAAAAAAAAAGAUGGAAACGCUCCUUCUUUUUUGGGUAGAACCUAAAACGUGUCGCGAUGGAUGACUUGGCUUCCCAUAUCUGUGAAGAACGCAGCAAAGUGCGAUAAGUGGUAUGAAUUGCAGAAUCUCUCCAUUACUUAAUCUUUGAACGCAAAAGGCGCUCGGGAGAAGCCCCUCGUGGGUCAUCCCCGUGCAUGCCGUAUUGCUCAGUGUCGAAAAACAACAAACACAAAAAGAUCGCGCUCUCUUCCGAGAGUUGUUUCGGUCUUUCCUCGUGUGUGUGUGCGUUCAACCGCGCGCGCAGGCCGAGGUGGUUUCUCGAAGUUGUGCGCGAAGGGAUACUACCAUUUCCCUCUCGCCGUGCAAUUCGGGGAUUGGGUGUUCCUUUUGUUGGAAACGACAAAAAUAAAGCAAACCAAUCAGCCAAAAAAGAUACCAACCAAUGUGUGUUGUUCCAAAAAACAAAACCAAAAAAUUUUACUGACCUGAGUGCGGCAGGACGACCCGCUAAACUUAAGCAUAUUGCUCAGCGGAGGAAAAGAAAACAACCGUGAUUCCCUUAGUGAGCGGCGGAGCGAACAGGGAUCCAACUCGAUGCCGAAUCGGGCUUUACAGAGCCUUGAGUUGUGGCACGACUGCCCCGUGACUGGUCAAGGGAGUGGCAAAAUUCAAUGUGCAAAGCAAACCCAUUGUUGAAUGCAACCCUUCAUGUGAGUAUUGAGCCAUAGGAGGUGAAAGCCCAUUCCAGCCACUACUACCCUAAGCCUCAUUGGGCGGUUUCAAGCGAGUAGCACUGCUUGGGAAUGCAGUGUCAAGCGGCAGGUAUGUGUCUGCCAAAGUUAAAUACAAAAUGGGAAGACCGAUAGCAAACAAGUAGCGUGAGCGAAAGUUUGAAAAGCACUUUGGAAAGAGAGUGACAUAGAACCUGAAGUCGUGACAAUGACAAUGAAAGUGCCUCCAUUUUUGUCAAGGCCGGCCCUGCAGCAUUAUCUGGUGUUCCGCCUUCGGGUGCCAACGCCAGGCAAACAAAUGUUGGAAGGGGACCGGAGCAAAGAGCCGAGGUAAAGGUAGGAGUUUUGGCUUGCCAAUGAACCCGUCCUUCUCGGUAGACUCAGCGACUUGACGCUCUGGAAAUGGGGUACCUUCACCCGUCUUGAAACACGGACCAAGGAGUCAAACAGACACGCAAGAGGGAAGAUAUUGUUGCCAGUACUUCUCUCGAACUGAAAGGGAUGCUUUUUGCAUUGGUGUGCACACAAGAACUGCCCAACACCGACCGCCCUUCUUUUAGGGUGAGUCUGAGUGUGCCUGUUUGGACCCGAAAGGUGGUGAACUAUGCCUGAACAAGGUGAAGUCCGGGGAAACUCGGAUGGAGGCCUGUAGCGGUGCUGACGUGCAAAUCGCUCGCAUGAUUUGGGUAUCGGAGCGAAAGACUCAUCGAACCACCUAGUAGCUGGUUCACAU